rnacentral:rRNA from 1 species
ACGAACGCUGGCGGCGUGCUUAACCCCUGCAAGUCGCACGGGAUUUAGUAGACAGAAGCCUCGGCUAAAGAUUACUAAUGAGAGUGGCGAACGGGUGAGUAACGCGUGAGCAACCUGCCUAUGACAGUGGGAUAGCCUCGGGAAACCGGGAUUAAUACCGCAUAAAAUCGUAGAAACACAUGUUUUAACGGUCAAAGAUUUAUCGGUCAUAGAUGGGCUCGCGUCUGAUUAGCUAGUUGGUGAGAUAACAGCCCACCAAGGCGACGAUCAGUAGCCGGUCUGAGAAGAUGAACGGCCACAUUGGAGCUGAGACACGGUCCAAACUCCUACGGGAAGCAGCAGUAGGGAAUAUUGCACAAUGGGGGAAACCCUGAUGCAGCGACGCCGCGUGAACGAAGAAGGUAUUCGUAUCGUAAAGUUCUGUCCUAUGGGAAGAUAAUGACAGUACCAUAGAAGAAAGCUCCGGCUAAAUACGUG